CCCCACUUCAGGUAACUGAAGGAAAUAAACUCUGGGAAGACAUGACAAGAGCUGGCAGGCUCCAUCAUGUCCCUAUCCGCAGUUUGCCACAUUAGAGACUUUGAUGAACUUCCCUUGGGUUAGAUCUAGAAUUCUCUCUCGGCUGAACUGAGUUGUCUUGUUCCCAAGGGGACCUCUCACUCACUCAGCAUCGUACAAUGAGUCUUGGAGGUUUUAGGGACUCUCUUCAUUCCAUCUUCCUCUUCAUUUUUUGGUCCAUCCAUCAUCUUCAUCUGAGAUAUUUGGAAAGCUGCCAAAAUCAUUUUGACUCCCUCAGAUGAAGUAAGUCUUCUAACUGUGGUUCUCCUGAGGUUCCUUUGGAAGAAGACAGAGCAAUUCUGAGAAACCAGCAGUGGGAGAUGCCAAGAAGCUCCGUUUCCUUGGCACUACAGCUCCAGUUUCAUUGCAUUAGGGUCAGCAAUGGAAUAAAACCACAGAUUGUGAGGAAUUGGAGAGGGCUGUUGAAACAGUUGUCCUCAUUUACCUAAAAGCCUCCCAGCUCCAGACAGCAUUACUGAUCCAAAUUACUGAUUGUAAUCCUAAUCCACAAGAACUGUUCUGGUGAUUGGUGCAGGAAUUUGGCUUCUCUUUUUUGUUUCCUCUGUGGAAGCUGCUGUGCCCCUCACUGAGAGGGUUGAGAGGAAUCAUGCUCUUUAACUUCCCUGGGCCUCAGUUUCCUGUCUGUAACAGAAAACUGUUAAUAUAAUGAGAGAAAUUGUUAAUUUCAAAUGCAAUAUAGAUCGCCACUCCCUUAAAUGAUCUUCGUAGUGUCAAUAUUUCAGUAAUGCCCUUGCAUUCCUACUCUUAAACUAUUUACUCUUGAUUAGGUUGAGCUGAACCACACCUUAAUUCCCCCACCCUGAGAUUUUACUUUCUAAAGGAACCUAGUUUGGUUUGGAUCUCAGCUCUUGAUGUCCUUGCCCCUUUGCAUUGGGAUUCAUGGCAUGAAGGGCAAGACAGCCAGUAUGGAGUGGUUUUCCUUGCCCAGAUUGCCAAGGGCCACUGGAGUCUCAUGACCAGGCUUUGCUACCUCACCUACCUCCUCUAACUGCCCCCUCUUACUACCUCACCUACCUCCUUCCCCUCUCCUCCUAAAACUAUAAAAAAACCUUUUUUACAGGUCUCUUUGGAUUGGAAAUUCACUAGAUAUCCUCCAGGGUGGAAGGUCUGCUAACCUGUUAUCUC